GGGAAACCGAGUCUUAAUUGGGCGUUAAGUUGCAGGGUAUAGACCCGAAACCCGGUGAUCUAGCCAUGGGCAGGUUGAAGGUUGGGUAACACUAACUGGAGGACCGAACCGACUAAUGUUGAAAAAUUAGCGGAUGACCUGUGGCUGGGGGUGAAAGGCCAAUCAAACCGGGAGAUAGCUGGUUCUCCCCGAAAGCUAUUUAGGUAGCGCCUCGUGAAUUCAUCUCCGGGGGUAGAGCACUGUUUCGGCUAGGGGGCCAUCCCGGCUUACCAACCCGAUGCAAACUGCGAAUACCGGAGAAUGUUAUCACGGGAGACACACGGCGGGUGCUAACGUCCGUCGUGAAGAGGGAAACAACCCAGACCGCCAGCUAAGGUCCCAAAGUCAUGGUUAAGUGGGAAACGAUGUGGGAAGGCCCAGACAGCCAGGAUGUUGGCUUAGAAGCAGCCAUCAUUUAAAGAAAGCGUAAUAGCUCACUGGUCGAGUCGGCCUGCGCGGAAGAUGUAACGGGGCUAAACCAUGCACCGAAGCUGCGGCAGCGACACUGUGUGUUGUUGGGUAGGGGAGCGUUCUGUAAGCCUGUGAAGGUGUGUCGUGAGGC
rnacentral:rRNA from 1 species